rnacentral:rRNA from 1 species
UACAGAGGUGGCAAGCGUUGUUCGGAAUUACUGGGCGUAAAGGGCGCGUAGGCGGUUCGUUAAGUCCUGUGUGAAAUCCCCCGGCUCAACUGGGGAACUGCACAGGAAACUAGCGGGCUUGAGUUCGGGAGAGGGAAGCGGAAUUCCGGGUGUAGCGGUGAAAUGCGUAGAUAUCCGGAGGAACACCAGUGGCGAAGGCGGCUUCCUGGACCGACACUGACGCUGAGGCGCGAAAGCUAGGGGAGCAAACGGG